GACUACACGACGAACCGGAAGUGGUUUUAUAUCGGCUGUCGGUUCUUUAGCAAGAUAAAUUACUUUUAAAGAUAAUUCUUCUUUACGAGUUUUGGAAACGGACCAACGCGAGAUUUUUGUCAUUUUCUCCAGUGGUUCUUGGUACAGCGCCACCCCAGGCGCAGAGCGGGAAGACAGCUGAACUGCGCCAGGCUCGGUGAGAGCUGAAAGGCCUGCUGAGAACAAUGGCUGACAUGAGGAGAAACAUGCAGGAUCACCACCUGAACUUCUGAAGGAAGAGCUACAGCUAACAGCUAGCUCCUCUUCGGCGGCUCUGACCAGCUUGUACCGGUUCAGCGCUGCUGUUGCUCCUCCUUCCAGUUGGACUGAACCAUUGUUCUAAUAACGGUGGGGGGGACCUAAAAAUUAAUUCUUAUUUUUUUUCUGAGAUAAAUGGCGGAUUUAUUUCAUUCUUUGUUUCUGUUGCGUUUUCAUAUUGACAUUAUUUAAAUGCAAAUGUUUCUUCAAUGAUUUUUUAUUUAUUUUUUUGUUGGGUGGGAGCAAUUCUAGACUUUUCCAUUUACGCCUAUGCUUGGUGGUACAAAUAUCUUGGUAUGCUUGAAAUAAGACAAAACUAACUUAAGAAUAACUUUUCAGCAAAAAAUAGGAGCUUGAUUUAAGUCAACAAUUCCUUAAUAGUGAUGGAAAAAGUAGCAGAUUAUUUUAUUUAUAAGAAGACGGUUCCAAAGUGUCAGUGGAACUAGAACUUUUUCACCAAUAUUAAGGAAUUACUGACUCUAAACAAGCCCUUAUAUUUUGCUGAGAAGUUAGUUUUGUCUUAUUUUUAUUAUACUCAGAUAUUUGCACGAGAAACUAGAAAAACACUUAGUAAGACUUUGUAAUAAAGCACUACUUAAAGGAAAAUAAACAAACUUUCCAACAGUAAAAAAUUGUUGAAAUAAUUAGUAGACGAUACACAAAUAAUUUUUAAGUUACUGCUUACAAUUUUUUUGGCCAAAUAAAGUAAAUUCAUCUUAUUUUAGAUGUACUUUUUAACUUUUUCAUUACCAAUAUUCAGAAUAACUUCAUAUCGUAGAAAAUUGGACUGAAGUCGUGAAUUUUUUUGUACCUAAACAAGUGAGUUAGUUAAUUUGGUAACUUUCUCCACCAUCACUGCAUAUUAAAGAAAUGGAUCGUCCCAUUGAGUGAUUAAUAAUUUUCUGUGUCUUAGAUGAUCCCGGUCUGCUCAGCGUGUGUUGCAACACAUUCCCGAAUGUAUUUGUUAAUCCAAAAUAGCAGUAUAAUGAGUCUUUUAAACUACAUCAAUUCAUGCUUGAGCAUUUUUAAUUAUGAUACGUAAUAAAAAUCAUAAUUGAUGAAUUGA